UACAGAGGUGGCAAGCGUUGUUCGGAAUUACUGGGCGUAAAGGGCGCGUAGGCGGCCUUGUAAGUCUCGUGUGAAAGCCCUCGGCUUAACUGAGGAUCUGCACGGGAUACUGCGAGGCUUGAGUUCGGGAGAGGAAAGCGGAAUUCCGGGUGUAGCGGUGAAAUGCGUAGAUAUCGGGAGGAACACCUGUGGCGAAAGCGGCGCACUGGACCAUAACUGACGCUGAGGCGCGAAAGCUAGGGGAGCAAACAGG
rnacentral:rRNA from 1 species